GGCUGCUCCGAACACGUAGUGAGUUCUCUCAGUUGAUUGUUUACACUCAAUUGCAGAUGGAAAUGCUUGUUCUAUUUCCUUCCCUCUUCUUACUAUUGCACUUGACUAGCCUAAA
rnacentral:Y_RNA from 1 species